rnacentral:rRNA from 1 species
UACGGAGGGUGCGAGCGUUGUCCGGAAUUAUUGGGCGUAAAGCGCGUGUAGGCGGCAUGGCAAGUCGGGUGUGAAAGCCCUCAGCUUAACUGAGGAAGUGCGCCCGAAACUGCCGUGCUUGAGUGCCGGAGAGGGUGGCGGAAUUCCCCAAGUAGAGGUGAAAUUCGUAGAUAUGGGGAGGAACACCGGUGGCGAAGGCGGCCACCUGGACGGUAACUGACGCUAAGACGCGAAAGCGUGGGGAGCAAACAGG